CGCGUAGGCGGUCUCUUAAGUCAGAUGUGAAAGCCCGGGGCUUAACCCCGGAAGUGCAUUUGAAACUAAGGGACUUGAGUAUGGGAGAGGGAAGUGGAAUUCCUGGUGUAGAGGUGAAAUUCGUAGAUAUCAGGAGGAACACCGGUGGCGAAGGCGACUUCCUGGACCAAUACUGACGCUGAGGCGCGAAGGCGUGGGGAGCAAACA
rnacentral:rRNA from 1 species